rnacentral:rRNA from 1 species
GACGAAGGGGAGCUAGCGUUGUUCGGAAUUACUGGGCGUAAAGCGCGUGUAGGCGGUUAUCCAAGUCGGGUGUGAAAGCCUUGAGCUCAACUCAAGAAAUGCACUCGGUACUGGGUGACUAGAGGACCGGAGAGGAUAGUGGAAUUCCCAGUGUAGUGGUGAAAUACGUAGAGAUUGGGAAGAACACCAGUGGCGAAGGCGGCUAUCUGGACGGUUUCUGACGCUAAGACGCGAAAGCGUGGGGAGCAAACAGG